GGUUGUAUGGAGUAGUUGGUUAACUUAGGAGAUUCUGAUCUGAUCCUCUUGAGAGGUGGCUUGAUGCGAAUUUCUCUUGCCCUGGGUUCGAAUCCCAGUACGACCU
rnacentral:tRNA from 1 species